rnacentral:rRNA from 1 species
GGCCACUGCUAUCGGAGUUCGAUUAAGCCAUGCGAGUCGAGAGGUAACUCGGCAUACUGCUCAGUAACACGUGGACAACCUACCCUGAGGAGGGGGAUAACCCCGGGAAACUGGGGAUAAUACCCCAUAGGCUAUGGAUGCUGGAAUGCUCUGUAGUUGAAAGGUCCGCCGCCUCAGGAUGGGUCUGCGGCCGAUUAGGUUGUUGUUGGGGUAACGGCCCAACAAGCCUGUAAUCGGUACGGGUUGUGGGAGCAAGAGCCCGGAGAUGGAUUCUGAGACACGAAUCCAGGCCCUACGGGGCGCGCAGGCGCGAAAACUUUACAAUGCGAGCAAUCGUGAUAAGGGAACUCCGAGUGCCCGUAAAUCGGGCUGUCCGCCAGUUUAAAUAACUGGUGAAGAAAGGGCCGGGCAAGACCGGUGCCAGCCGCCGCGGUAAUACCGGCGGCUCGAGUGGUGGCCACUAUUACUGGGCUUAAAGCGUUCGUAGCUGGUCUGUUAAGUCUCUGGGGAAAUCUUCUGGCUUAACCGGAAGGCGUCUCAGGGAUACUGGCAGACUAGGGACCGGAAGAGGUGAGAGGUACUCCAGGGGUAGGAGUGAAAUCCUGUAAUCCUUGGGGGACCACCUGUGGCGAAGGCGUCUCACCAGAACGGCUCCGGCAGUGAGGAACGAAAGCUGGGGGAGCAAACCGGAUUAGAUACCCGGGUAGUCCCAGCUGUAAACGAUGCGCGUUAGGUGUAUCGGUGACCACGAGUCACCGAGGUGCCGAAGAGAAAUCGUGAAACGUGCCGCCUGGGAAGUACGGUCGCAAGGCUGAAACUUAA